CUGAAAUGUGAACUCAAACCUUCAGACGUGAAGCUGGAAAUGAAUUUCCUUGGCUUCGAUGUCUCCAUCUCAAAAAUGACUGUAUUUUUGGGAAGGUUGCUUCAGAGUCCACGUUCUAUUGGCCAUUCCACUGAUUCCGCAUCUCCUUGACAAAUGAAUCUUGGGCCAAAAGUUCAUUGUGGGGACGCUGUUCAGUAGUUCCAUGAGAGCAGGAAGCAGAUCUAUCUUACUGAGGACACUCCUGGUGCCAAACUAUCUGGGGAAGAGGAAACCAAGAAUCCAGUGCAGUCUUAGAAGAUGGGGGAGUUGCUAAUGGAAGGAACCAGGUCUCUGAAAGACUUCAUAGAACACAGUACCACACUUUGUGACAUCCCCUGACAACCUCAUUAGACUGUGACAUAGGCAAGAAAUAAAUCUUGGUUGUGUUUGCCCCUGAAAUUCCAGGGCUGUUUGUUACAAUGGUUAACCUCUUCUGACAAAUUUCAUAAAAUUCCAUUUACCCUCGCUUUUCCUCACUACAUAUUAUUCAGUUUAAGAUUCGGUUCACUGUCCUCCAGGAAGCCUUCCUUGACUUCCCUGUGGCUGGCUUUUGUGUUCCCAUGGCACCAUGUGCACUGUUUCAUCAGGUACUAACCACGUUGUAUUAUAUACUGUCUCCCUCAUGUGACUAAGUUUUUCCUGAGGUCAGAAACUAUCUAUUUUUCUUUUUUGUGUCUUUAUGGCCUAUUACAAUGUCUGGCGCCACAAUAAAUCUUUGUUAGAUAAAUAAACCAUAGACAGCAGG
rnacentral:lncRNA from 1 species